GACGAACGCUGGCGGCGCGCUUAACACAUGCAAGUCGAACGGAAAGGCCUGCUUUCCCUUGUGGAUUGCGGGUACUCGAGUGGCGAACGGGUGAGUAACACGUGAGUGAUCUGCCCCCAACUUGGGUAUAAGCCUGGGAAACUGGGUCUAAUUCCCGAUAGGACUGCAGGGUGGUGCCUGUGGUGGAAAACGAUUUUCUAGUGGUUGGGGAUGAGCUCGCGGCCUAUCAGCUUGUUGGUGGGGUAAUGGCCUACCAAGGCGGCGACGGGUAGCCGGCCUGAGAGGGUGGACGGCCACAUUGGGACUGAGAUACGGCCCAGACUACUACGGGAGGCAGCAGUGGGGAAUAUUGCACAAUGGGCGGAAGCCUGAUGCAGCGACGCCGCGUGGGGGAUGACGGCCUUCGGGUGGUAAACUCCUUUCGACCGCGAGGAAGCCACCUGGUUGGAAGGGUGGUGACGGUAGUGGUAGAAGAAGCACCGGCUAACUACGUG
rnacentral:rRNA from 1 species